UACGUAGGGUGCAAGCGUUGUCCGGAAUUAUUGGGCGUAAAGAGCUCGUAGGCGGUCUGUCGCGUCGGCUGUGAAAACCCGCGGCUUAACCGCGGGCUUGCGGUUGAUACGGGCGGGCUAGAGUUCGGUAGGGGAGACUGGAAUUCCUGGUGUAGCGGUGAAAUGCGCAGAUAUCAGGAGGAACACCGGUGGCGAAGGCGGGUCUCUGGGCCGGAACUGACGCUGAGGAGCGAAAGCGUGGGGAGCGAACAGG
rnacentral:rRNA from 1 species